rnacentral:tRNA from 1 species
ACUCUUUUAAUAUAAGUCAGUAUGUCUAAUUUCCAAUUAGAGUGUUUUAAAGGGUU